rnacentral:rRNA from 1 species
GGUGAGAGGUGCCCGUACCGCAAACCGACACAGGUAGGCGAGGAGAGAAUCCUAAGGUGAUCGAGAGAACUCUCGUUAAGGAACUCGGCAAAAUGACCCCGUAACUUCGGGAGAAGGGGUGCUUCUUAGGGUGUUAAAGCCCCGAGAAGCCGCAGUGAAUAGGCCCAGGCGACUGUUUAGCAAAAACACAGGUCUCUGCGAAGCCGUAAGGCGAAGUAUAGGGGCUGACGCCUGCCCGGUGCUGGAAGGUUAAGAGGAGCGCUUAGCGUAAGCGAAGGUGCGAAUUGAAGCCCCAGUAAACGGCGGCCGUAACUAUAACGGUCCUAAGGUAGCGAAAUUCCUUGUCGGGUAAGUUCCGACCCGCACGAAAGGCGCAACGAUCUGGGCACUGUCUCAACGAGAGACUCGGUGAAAUUAUAGUACCUGUGAAGAUGCAGGUUACCCGCGACAGGACGGAAAGACCCCGUGGAGCUUUACUGCAGCCUGAUAUUGAAUGUUGGUACAGCUUGUACAGGAUAGGUAGGAGCCUUGGAAACCGGAGCGCUAGCUUCGGUGGAGGCAUCGGUGGGAUACUACCCUGGCUGUAUUGACCUUCUAACCCGCUGCCCUUAUCGGGCAGGGAGACAGUGUCAGGUGGGCAGUUUGACUGGGGCGGUCGCCUCCUAAAAUGUAACGGAGGCGCCCAAAGGUUCCCUCAGAAUGGUUGGAAAUCAUUCGCAGAGUGUAAAGGCACAAGGGAGCUUGACUGCGAGACCUACAAGUCGAGCAGGGACGAAAGUCGGGCUUAGUGAUCCGGUGGUUCCGCAUGGAAGGGCCAUCGCUCAACGGAUAAAAGCUACCCCGGGGAUAACAGGCUUAUCUCCCCCAAGAGUCCACAUCGACGGGGAGGUUUGGCACCUCGAUGUCGGCUCAUCGCAUCCUGGGGCUGUAGUCGGUCCCAAGGGUUGGGCUGUUCGCCCAUUAAAGCGGUACGCGAGCUGGGUUCAGAACGUCGUGAGACAGUUCGGUCCCUAUCCGUCGCGGGCGCAGGAAAUUUGAGAGGAGCUGUCCUUAGUACGAGAGGACCGGGAUGGACGCACCGCUGGUGUACCAGUUGUUCUGCCAAGGGCAUCGCUGGGUAGCUAUGUGCGGACGGGAUAAGUGCUGAAAGCAUCUAAGCAUGAAGCCCCCCUCAAGAUGAGAUUUCCCAUUCCGCAAGGAAGUAAGAUCCCUGAAAGAUGAUCAGGUUGAUAGGUCUGAGGUGGAAGCGUGGUGACACGUGGAGCUGACAGAUACUAAUAGAUCGAGGACUUAACCUAU